rnacentral:rRNA from 1 species
GAUUAACGCUGGCGGCGUGCCUAACACAUGCAAGUCGAACGAGGUAGCAAUACCUAGUGGCAGACGGGUGAGUAACGCGUGGUCAACCUACCGUUGAGUGGGGGAUAACUAGCCGAAAGGUUAGCUAAUACCGCAUACGAGGUCGAGGGGCAUCCCCUGAUCUUAAAAGGAGCAAAUCCGCUCGAUGACGGGACCGCGUCCCAUUAGCUAGAUGGUGGGGUAAUGGCCUACCAUGGCNCCGAUGGGUAGCUGGUUUGAGAGAGCGACCAGCCACACU